rnacentral:rRNA from 1 species
CGCGUAGGCGGUCUUGUCGGUCAGAUGUGAAAGCCCGGGGCUCAACCCCGGACGUGCAUUUGAAGCAGCAAGACUUGAGUACGGGAGAGGAAAGCGGAAUUCCUGGUGUAGAGGUGAAAUUCGUAGAUAUCAGGAGGAACACCGAUGGCGAAGGCAGCUUUCUGGACCGAUACUGACGCUGAUGCGCGAAGGCGUGGGUAGCGAACAGGAUUAGAUACCCUGGUAGUCC